GACGAACGCUGGCGGCGUGCUUAAAACAUGCAAGUCGAGCGGAAAGGCCCUUUGGGGUACUCGAGCGGCGAACGGGUGAGUAACACGUGAGUAAUCUGCCCUGCACUUUGGGAUAACUGCCGGAAACGGUUGCUAAUACCGGAUAUGACUCCUUGCCGCAUGGCGGGGGGUGGAAAGUUUUUUCGGUGAGGGAUGGGCUCGCGGCCUAUCAGCUAGUUGGUGGGGUAACGGCCCACCAAGGCGACGACGGGUAGCCGGCCUGAGAGGGCGACCGGCCACACUGGGACUGAGACACGGCCCAGACUCCUACGGGAGGCAGCAGUGGGGAAUAUUGCGCAAUGGGCGAAAGCCUGACGCAGCGACGCAGCGUGAGGGACGAAGGCCUUCGGGUUGUAAACCUCUUUCAGCGGGGACGAAGCGAAAGUGACGGUACCCGCAGAAGAAGCACCGGCUAACUACGUGCCAGCCGCCGCAGUAAUAC
rnacentral:rRNA from 1 species